CGUAAAAGUGAGGAGACCCGUGUGAGCAUCAUCUAGUUCCUAGUCUGGAGGUUGCUAUGGGACAGAGACCCAGAGUGGAUGCACUGGACCAGAAAAGAGGCUUCGUCCUCGAGUGCCAGCCUAGGAUGGCA